rnacentral:rRNA from 1 species
UACGGGGGGGGCAAGCGUUGUUCGGAAUUACUGUGCGUAAAGGGCUCGUAGGUGGCCAACUAAGUCAGACGUGAAAUCCCUCAGCUUAACUGGGGAACUGCGUCUGAUACUGGAUGGCUUGAGUUUGGGAGAGGGAUGCGGAAUUCCAGGUGUAGCGGUGAAAUGCGUAGAUAUCUGGAGGAACACCGGUGGCGAAGGCGGCAUCCUGGACCAAUACUGACACUGAGGAGCGAAAGCCAGGGGAGCAAACGGG